UCUUACUUACCUUCCAAGCAGCUCCCAUCAGAUCUCCUGUCUAAAUUGCGGGACUCGCAAAAUUUAAACAGGGGAGCUGAAGGGAGCUGCUGGGAAGGUAAGUAAGAGCU